rnacentral:sRNA from 1 species
CAAGGGGAAACUUUCAUCCCCACGCAGGAUAUAGCUUUUUGCUCUGCAGAGUCUAACUUUUGCAAGUGGAAGCUUCAUGGUGGUGGCAGAGGACCUGAGUGCCCUGAGGAUGGCAGAGGACGGCUGUGUGGACGCAGAUCUCCCAGAUUGUAACUGCGAUGUCACAAGGCAGGGUGAAGAAGCUGAAGGAGACCCUGGUAGCCGUGCAGCAGCUUGAUAAGAACAUGAGCAGCCUGAGGACCUGGCUCGCUCACAUCGAGUCAGAGCUGGCCAAGCCAAUAGUCUACGAUUCCUGUAACUCGGAAGAAAUACAGAGAAAGCUUAAUGAGCAGCAGGAGCUUCAGAGAGACAUAGAGAAGCACAGUACAGGUGUUGCAUCUGUCCUCAACCUGUGUGAAGUCCUGCUGCACGACUGUGACGCCUGUGCCACUGAUGCCGAGUGUGACUCUAUACAGCAGGCUACGAGAAACCUGGACCGGCGGUGGAGAAACAUUUGUGCUAUGUCCAUGGAAAGGAGGCUGAAAAUCGAAGAGACGUGGCGAUUGUGGCAGAAAUUUCUGGAUGACUAUUCACGUUUUGAAGAUUGGCUGAAGUCUUCAGAAAGGACAGCUGCUUUUCCCAGCUCUUCUGGGGUGAUCUAUACAGUUGCCAAGGAAGAACUAAAGAAAUUUGAGGCUUUCCAGCGACAGGUCCACGAGUGCCUGACGCAGCUGGAACUGAUCAACAAGCAGUACCGCCGCCUGGCCAGGGAGAACCGCACUGAUUCAGCGUGUAGCCUCAAACAGAUGGUUCACGAAGGCAACCAGAGAUGGGACAACCUGCAAAAGCGUGUCACCUCCAUCUUGCGCAGACUCAAGCAUUUUAUUGGCCAGCGUGAGGAGUUUGAGACUGCGCGGGACAGCAUUCUGGUCUGGCUCACAGAGAUGGAUCUGCAGCUCACUAAUAUUGAACAUUUUUCUGAGUGUGAUGUUCAAGCUAAAAUAAAGCAACUCAAGGCCUUCCAGCAGGAAAUUUCACUGAACCACAAUAAGAUUGAGCAGAUAAUUGCCCAAGGAGAACAGCUGAUAGAAAAGAGUGAGCCCUUGGAUGCAGCGAUCAUCGAGGAGGAACUAGAUGAGCUCCGACGGUACUGCCAGGAGGUCUUCGGGCGUGUGGAAAGAUACCAUAAGAAACUGAUCCGCCUGCCUCUCCCAGACGAUGAGCAUGACCUCUCAGACAGAGAGCUGGAGCUGGAAGACUCUGCAGCUCUGUCAGACCUGCACUGGCACGACCGCUCUGCAGACAGCCUGCUUUCUCCACAGCCUUCCUCCAACCCCUCCCUCUCGCUCGCUCAGCCCCUCCGGAGCGAGCGGUCAGGACGAGACACCCCGGCUAGUGUGGACUCCAUCCCCCUGGAGUGGGAUCACGACUAUGACCUCAGUCGGGACCUGGAGUCUGCAAUGUCCAGAGCUCUGCCCUCUGAGGAUGAAGAGGGUCAGGAUGACAAAGAUUUCUACCUCCGGGGAGCUGUUGGCUUAUCAGAUGUAAUGAUCCCCGAAAGCCCUGAGGCCUAUGUAAAACUCACAGAAAAUGCAAUCAAAAAUACCUCCGGGGACCACAGUGCCCUAGAGUCACAGAUCCGACAACUGGGCAAAGCCCUGGAUGAUAGCCGCUUUCAGAUACAGCAAACCGAAAAUAUCAUUCGCAGCAAAACUCCCACGGGGCCGGAGCUAGACACCAGCUACAAAGGCUACAUGAAACUGCUGGGCGAAUGCAGUGGCAGUAUAGACUCCGUGAAGAGACUGGAGCACAAACUGAAGGAGGAAGAGGAGAGCCUUCCUGGCUUUGUUAACCUGCAUAGUACCGAAACCCAAACGGCUGGUGUGAUUGACCGAUGGGAGCUUCUCCAGGCCCAGGCAUUGAGCAAGGAGUUGAGGAUGAAGCAGAACCUCCAGAAGUGGCAGCAGUUUAACUCAGACUUGAACAGCAUCUGGGCCUGGCUGGGGGACACGGAGGAGGAGUUGGAACAGCUCCAGCGUCUGGAACUCAGCACUGACAUCCAGACCAUUGAGCUCCAGAUCAAAAAGCUCAAGGAGCUCCAGAAAGCUGUGGACCACCGCAAAGCCAUCAUCCUCUCCAUCAAUCUCUGCAGCCCUGAGUUCACCCAGGCUGACAGCAAGGAGAGCCGGGACCUGCAGGAUCGCUUGUCGCAGAUGAAUGGGCGCUGGGACCGAGUGUGCUCUCUGCUGGAGGAGUGGCGGGGCCUGCUGCAGGAUGCCCUGAUGCAGUGCCAGGGUUUCCAUGAAAUGAGCCAUGGUUUGCUUCUUAUGCUGGAGAACAUUGACAGAAGGAAAAAUGAAAUUGUCCCUAUUGAUUCUAACCUUGAUGCAGAGAUACUUCAGGACCAUCAUAAACAGCUUAUGCAAAUAAAGCAUGAGCUGUUGGAAUCCCAACUCAGAGUAGCCUCUUUGCAAGACAUGUCUUGCCAACUACUGGUGAAUGCUGAAGGAACAGACUGUUUAGAAGCCAAAGAAAAAGUCCAUGUUAUUGGAAAUCGGCUCAAACUUCUCUUGAAGGAGGUCAGUCGUCAUAUCAAGGAACUGGAGAAGUUAUUAGACGUGUCAAGUAGUCAGCAGGAUUUGUCUUCCUGGUCUUCUGCUGAUGAACUGGACACCUCAGGGUCUGUGAGUCCCACAUCAGGAAGGAGCACCCCAAACAGACAGAAAACGCCACGAGGCAAGUGUAGUCUCUCACAGCCUGGACCCUCUGUCAGCAGUCCACAUAGCAGGUCCACAAAAGGUGGCUCCGAUUCCUCCCUUUCUGAGCCAGGGCCAGGUCGGUCCGGCCGCGGCUUCCUGUUCAGAGUCCUCCGAGCAGCUCUUCCCCUUCAGCUUCUCCUGCUCCUCCUCAUCGGGCUUGCCUGCCUUGUACCAAUGUCAGAGGAAGACUACAGCUGUGCCCUCUCCAACAACUUUGCCCGGUCAUUCCACCCCAUGCUCAGAUACACAAAUGGCCCUCCUCCACUCUGAACUAAGCAGAUGCCAUCUGCAGAAGUGCUGGUAGCAUAAGGAGGAUCGGGUCAUAAGCAAUCCCAAACUACCAACAAGAGGACCUUGAUCUUGGUGAAAGCCCUCGGUGUGGCAGCUUUAGCCCUCCUCCAGAUCACAUGUGUGCAAAUUAUGGCUUCAGAGGUGGAAGAUAAACAGUGACAGGGGAACAAACAGACAACAAGAAGGUUUGGAAGAAAUCUGGUUUGAGACUCUGAACCUUAGCACUAAGGAGAUUGAGUAAGGACCUCCAGAGUUCCCCGGACUCAUGAAUUCUGGGCCCUUGGCCCAUUCUGUGCACAGCCAAGGACUUCAGUAGACCAUCUGGGCAGCUUUCCCAUGGUGCUGCUCCAACCAUCAGAUAAAUGACCCUCCCAAGCACCAUGUCAGUGUCGUACAAUCUACCAACCAACCAGUGCUGAAGAGAUUUUAGAACCUUGUAACAUACAAUUUUUAAGAGCUUAUAUGGCAGCUUCCUUUUUACCUUGUUUUCCUUUGGGGCAUGAUGUUUUAACCUUUGCUUUAGAAGCACAAGCUGUAAAUCUAAAAGGCACUUUUUUUUAGAGGUACAAAGAAAAACUAGAUGUAAUAAAUAAGAUCAUGGAAGGCUUUAUGUGAAAAAAGUUGAAUGUUAUAGU